AUGAGAAGAGAAUGGUUGAUUGGAAUUUUAGUUUUCGGCAGAUAUCAAAAACUUAUUCGAUUGGGUCGGUUAAGAAGAUUGAUGAAAGGAAGAAGAAGAAAGACGAGGGAGGAUUUAUGUCUGAAAAAUGAGAGAGGUAAAAGAGAAGGUGUUAUGUGUGAGAGAGAUACAGAGAGAUGUUGUAUGAAAUGA